rnacentral:rRNA from 1 species
UAAAAAAAGGUAAGCUACUAAGAGCGAAUGGUGGAUGCCUUGACUGGUAAAGGCGAUGAAGGACGUACUAGACUGCGAUAAGCUACGGGGAGCUGUCAAGAAGCUUUGAUCCGUAGAUUUCCGAAUGGGGCAACCCAAUGUAUAGAGAUAUACAUUACCUAUAUAGGAGCGAACGAGGGGAAUUGAAACAUCUUAGUACCCUCAGGAAAAGAAAUCAAUAGAGAUUGCGUCAGUAGCGGCGAGCGAAAGCGCAAGAGGGCAAACCCAGUGCUUGCACUGGGGGUUGUAGGACUGCAAUGUGCAAGAGGUAAGUUUAGCAGAACAUUCUGGAAAGUAUAACCAUAGAGGGUGAUAGUCCCGUAUGCGAAAAACAAACCUUAGCUAGCAGUAUCCUGAGUAGGGCGGGACACGAGGAAUCCUGUCUGAAUCCGGGUCGACCACGAUCCAACCCUAAAUACUAAUACCAGAUCGAUAGUGCACAAGUACCGUGAGGGAAAGGUGAAAAGAACUGAGGUGAUCAGAGUGAAAUAGAACCUGAAACCAUUUGCUUACAAUCAUUCAGAGCCCUAUGUAGCAAUACAGGGUGAUGGACUGCCUUUUGCAUAAUGAGCCUGCGAGUUGUGGUGUCUGGCAAGGUUAAGCAAACGCGAAGCCGUAGCGAAAGCGAGUCUGAAUAGGGCGCUUAGUCAGAUGCUGCAGACCCGAAACGAAGUGAUCUAUCCAUGAGCAAGUUGAAGCUAGUGUAAGAACUAGUGGAGGACUGAACCCAUAGGCGUUGAAAAGCCCCGGGAUGACUUGUGGAUAGGGGUGAAAGGCCAAUCAAACUUCGUGAUAGCUGGUUCUCUCCGAAAUAUAUUUAGGUAUAGCGUUGUGUCGUAAUAUAAGGGGGUAGAGCACUGAAUGGGCUAGGGCAUACACCAAUGUACCAAACCCUAUCAAACUCCGAAUACCUUAUAUGUAAUCACAGCAGUCAGGCGGCGAGUGAUAAAAUCCGUCGUCAAGAGGGAAACAACCCAGACUACCAGCUAAGGUCCCUAAAUCUUACUUAAGUGGAAAACGAUGUGAAGUUACUUAAACAACCAGGAGGUUGGCUUAGAAGCAGCCAUCCUUUAAAGAAAGCGUAAUAGCUCACUGGUCUAGUGAUUUUGCGCGGAAAAUAUAACGGGGCUAAAGUAAGUACCGAAGCUGUAGACUUGCACACAACUUAGAUUAUUUAAGUUUAGAAUAUGAGAAACUAAGUUAUAUGUUUAGUUAUAUUUUUACUGAUUUUUAUAGAGUAAAGAUAGAAAUAAAACUUAGUAAAAUCAGUAAAAAUAUUCUUAGACUAAAGUUAAGUAGUUUAAGUUGUGUGCAAGUGGUAGGAGAGCGUUCUAUUUGCGUCGAAGGUAUACCGGUAAGGAGUGCUGGAGCGAAUAGAAGUGAGCAUGCAGGCAUGAGUAGCGAUAAUUAAUGUGAGAAUCAUUAACGCCGUAAACCCAAGGUUUCCUACGCGAUGCUCGUCAUCGUAGGGUUAGUCGGGUCCUAAGUCGAGUCCGAAAGGGGUAGACGAUGGCAAAUUGGUUAAUAUUCCAAUACCAACAUUAGUGUGCGAUGGAAGGACGCUUAGGGCUAAGGGGGCUAGCGGAUGGAAGUGCUAGUCUAAGGUCGUAGGAGGUUAUACAGGCAAAUCCGUAUAACAAUACUCCGAGAACUGAAAGGCUUUUUGAAGUCUUCGGAUGGAUAGAAGAACCCCUGAUGCCGUCGAGCCAAGAAAAGUUUCUAAGUUUAGCUAAUGUUGCCCGUACCGUAAACCGACACAGGUGGGUGGGAUGAGUAUUCUAAGGCGCGUGGAAGAACUCUCUUUAAGGAACUCUGCAAAAUAGCACCGUAUCUUCGGUAUAAGGUGUGGUUAGCUUUGUAUUAGGAUUUACUCCGAAAGCAAGGAAACUUACAACAAAGAGUCCCUCCCGACUGUUUACCAAAAACACAGCACUCUGCUAACUCGUAAGAGGAUGUAUAGGGUGUGACGCCUGCCCGGUGCUCGAAGGUUAAUUGAUGGGGUUAGCAUUAGCGAAGCUCUUGAUCGAAGCCCGAGUAAACGGCGGCCGUAACUAUAACGGUCCUAAGGUAGCGAAAUUCCUUGUCGGUUAAAUACCGACCUGCAUGAAUGGCGUAACGAGAUGGGAGCUGUCUCAAAGAGGGAUCCAGUGAAAUUGUAGUGGAGGUGAAAAUUCCUCCUACCCGCGGCAAGACGGAAAGACCCCGUGGACCUUUACUACAGCUUGA